rnacentral:rRNA from 1 species
CCUACGGGAGGCAGCAGUGAGGAAUAUUGGUCAAUGGGCGGAAGCCUGAACCAGCCAAGUAGCGUGAAGGAUGACGGCCCUACGGGUUGUCAACUGCUUUUAUACGGGAAUAACGCGCCUUACGUGUAGGGCUUUGCAUGUACCUUACGAAUAAGGACCGGCUAAUUCCGUGCCAGCAGCCGCGGUAAGACGGAAGGUCAGGGCGUUAUCCGGAUGUAUUGGGUUUAAAGGUAGCGUAGGCCGCAUGUCAAACGUGCUGUGAAAUGUCCGGGCGCAACCCGGGCCUUGCAGUGCAAACUGGCGAGCUUGAGUCCGCGGAGGGCAGGCGGAAUUCGUCGUGUAGCGGUGAAAUGCUUAGAUAUGACGAAGAACCCCGAUUGCGAAGGCAGCUUGCUGCAGCGGAACUGACGCUGAUGCUCGAAAGCGCGGGUAUCGAACAGGAUUAGAUACCCCUGUAGGC